AAUUUUUUAUGUAAUUUUUUUUUUUUUGGAUUUUGUGUUAGAAUAUUUUAUUGCCAUUGUUGUUGAAUGUUGCUCAUGAAAGGGAUUGAUUAAUGUUUUAUGGAAAGAGAACAUUGAAUUAUUAUUGAAUAAUUUUUUGCUUUACUCAAUUGUAUGAAAAAUUAUUAUACUCUCUCCACCCACAAUUAUUAUAAAUAAAAAUUUAUUUUUUAA
rnacentral:lncRNA from 1 species